GAGCGAACAGGAUUAGAUACCCUGGUAGUCCAUGCCGUAAACGUUGGGCACUAGGUGUGGGGGACAUUCCACGUUUUCCGCGCCGUAGCUAACGCAUUAAGUGCCCCGCCUGGGGAGUACGGCCGCAAGGCUAAAACUCAAAGGAAUUGACGGGGGCCCGCACAAGCGGCGGAGCAUGCGGAUUAAUUCGAUGCAACGCGAAGAACCUUACCAAGGCUUGACAUGUGCCAGACCGCUCCAGAGAUGGGGUUUCCCUUCGGGGCUGGUUCACAGGUGGUGCAUGGUUGUCGUCAGCUCGUGUCGUGAGAUGUUGGGUUAAGUCCCGCAACGAGCGCAACCCUCGUUCCAUGUUGCCAGCACGUAGUGGUGGGGACUCAUGAGAUCCCCCUACCCAC
rnacentral:rRNA from 1 species